rnacentral:rRNA from 1 species
AUUGAACGCUGGCGGCAUGCCUUACACAUGCAAGUCGAACGGUAACAGGUUAAGCUGACGAGUGGCGAACGGGUGAGUAAUGUAUCGGAACGUGCCCAGUCGUGGGGGAUAACUGCUCGAAAGAGCAGCUAAUACCGCAUACGACCUGAGGGUGAAAGCGGGGGAUCGCAAGACCUCGCGCGAUUGGAGCGGCCGAUAUCAGAUUAGGUAGUUGGUGAGGUAAAGGCUCACCAAGCCGACGAUCUGUAGCUGGUCUGAGAGGACGACCAGCCACACUGGGACUGAGACACGGCCCAGACUCCUACGGGAGGCAGCAGUGGGGAAUUUUGGACAAUGGGCGCAAGCCUGAUCCAGCCAUGCCGCGUGCGGGAAGAAGGCCUUCGGGUUGUAAACCGCUUUUGUCAGGGAAGAAAAGGUUCUGGCUAAUACCUGGGACUCGUGACGGUACCUGAAGAAUAAGCACCGGCUAACUACGUG